AACUUGCUACUUGUCUUACGACUACAAUACAGAAAACUCUUUUGGAAAUAUCCGUUUUUAAUUUUUCCAUCUUGACUUUCAGAAUCUACAUUUUGUCCCAUUAAAAUUUCUUUUUUUUUUCUUUUUUUUUUGAGAGAUAGAUAGCACGCUACCCGCUUUGUUUAUUUCAUUUUAGAAAUAAACUUAGCUGAAAAUGUGAAUCAACUAGGAUUCGAACUUGGGUCUCGGGUACUAACCACCAAGCCCUUUGCCACUUGCUCUAGGGACGGUCGGUUGUCCAAUUAAAAUUUCAAAAAUAUUUUAGGGAGGUAUGGUGUUAGUGGAUAGGGCAAAAUGACUAACGUGCCCUUAUUUUCUUUAUAUGAAAAAAUAAUUUUUUAAUAUAUUUCUGUCAUUCUUAAGGUUAUUUUCGAUAUAAAUUAUAUGAAAUUGACGGAAUAGUGAUGGACCCUCGACGGAAGGGGGCUAAAUGUAAUAAUUUGAAAUAUUGAGGGGCUAAAAUAUAGGUUUUUUAAAGUUAGAAAAGAAAAGUUAAAAAUGUGGGUACUUAUAAGGGGAUUUUCUAUUAUUCAUUUUUUUUUAACUAAAAUUCCAAAAAGGGCUGGUAUACUCUACAACCCUUUGGAUAAGGGGUUGUAGAGAUUACAAUUCUUUUUUGGGUUGUAAACUUAGCAUUUUUCUUUGAAUAAAUAAAAGGGUAAACUAAAUAUUUGGAAUUGUUGAAAUUAAGUCUCACAAUCUAACUUAGUUAAUUAAAUUAACAUAUCGCUAAUAUAAAAUUAAUAUAGCAUCUUAAUUAUUAGCGCAUCAUCAAUCAUAAUACUACUACAUUACUUCUACUUUGGCAAUAUAUCAAUAUUUAUUUAAUUAAAUUAGAUUAUAGAAUUUGAUUGUAAUAAUUCUGAAAGUUCGUGGCAGAAGUUACAACAAGUUAAAGUUUAGGCACUUAUGUUAUUGUUUGAGGAUCAAAUUUGCAAUUUAU
rnacentral:lncRNA from 1 species